rnacentral:rRNA from 1 species
GAUGAACGCUAGCUACAGGCUUAACACAUGCAAGUCGAGGGACCGGCGCACGGGUGAGUAACACGUAUCCAACCUGCCCUUUACUCGGGGAUAGCCUUUCGAAAGAAAGAUUAAUACCCGAUCUAAAGGAUGGGGAUGCGUUCCAUUAGGUUGUUGGUGAGGUAACGGCCCACCAAGCCUUCGAUGGAUAGGGGUUCUGAGAGGAAGGUCCCCCACAUUGGAACUGAGACACGGUCCAAACUCCUACGGGAGGCAGCAGUGAGGAAUAUUGGUCAAUGGAGGAAACUCUGAACCAGCCAAGUCGCGUGAAGGAAGAAUGUCUAAGGAUUGUAAACUUCUUUAGCGAGCGAGUAAGUAGCUCGAGAAUAAGUAUCGGCUAACUCCGUGCCAGCAGCCGCGGUAAUUC